AUCUCUUAUCCCAUUCAUUACUCAUUUUAAAUUUUUUUACACUGGACCAAGAUGGCCGGUCUGCAGCAGACCGCUUCUGGCACCCAGAUACUAAACGGGAUUUUGCCACUGCUCUAUGGAAAGAUCCAUUAGAUAAUAAAUGGCACGGCCCCGAUCCAGUUUUAAUUUGGGGUAGAGGUGCAGUAUGCAUAUAUUCACAGAAGAUGGAAGCAGCACGAUGGUUACCUGAACGACUGGUCAAACAAGUAGAUAACAUCAUCACCUCUAAUUCCAGGGAGCAAGAGACCCCCUGAGAAGGCUUUCUUUCCUUUGCAGGUAACUAUGAGCACCUGGAUAUGGCUACUGCUGGGAAUAUCUCUCCUGAUACGAAAAAAUGAAGGUGGUUUUGGUAAUCCCCAUGAGGCUCGGGCACUCUUACAAAAAUUAACUGGUACUCCUUGAGAGUGCCGUGGUGGCACCUGGAAUGGCCUCUUCUCGUAAAUCACGUGAGCAAAACUUGGAAGCUUGCCGUUUGGAACUUAUCUCCACCAAGGCCAGGUUGCUUGGAUACCUGGUGACAUAAACCUUCUCCUUCACCUACCCUUAUAUACCCUGGAAGAACUUUGCAAUAAACGAGACUUGAUCAGA